ensembl:lncRNA
AUGGGUGCCCAAAACAAGGAAGAUGUUGUGGUUUCCAGAAGGGAAACACAAUAUAUAUUAAAUUACUUCUGCCUAAUGAUGCAUGUUUCCUUUUGUUGUGGUAUUUUUCAGGACCAGUCCAGCAGCUGUAUUAGAAGACAUGUGGUAUAUAUAAAGUUUGUGAUCGUUGGGGGAAAUUUUGGUGCUUGUGGGUCCCUGGGCGUUGGGGAACGGAAAGUUGUACAGAGGGAAAGAGAACUGUCGGAGUGUGAGCUGCUGCCUUGCGGCCUGGGGGUCAUUUGAACAGGAGAAGCCAGAGAGUGGAAGCCAACAAAUAUUGUAGGUGCCAGGAAUGUGGUUUUUUCUUAAAGUAAUGUGACAUUUUAAGAGUGAUUUCUGUUAGUUCGGUUCCCUUGCUGUGCGGUGUGGAACAAGGUCCAUCCUCCUCACCCUCCAGAGGGUCUUUGCAAAGCCAUGUGUAAAUGAUCGAAUGGGUCCAACUCCACUUCUUAUUAUUUCUGAAGCAAAGUUUUGACUUGAUUUUUAAAUAGGCUCUGGUUCUCCCAUUGUUGCAUGUGGCUAGUGUCUACGUUGUAGAUACUCCUGCUUUUACAUCAGCCUUCUUACCCCAAAGGUAUAAUAUUUUAUCACCUGUGUUUGUGGGGGGCUCUUCCUCUCAGGGCUCCACCAAGAGUAGAAAUCUGUUAUUUUUGUGCUUGGAGGAAACAUUACAUGUAUAGCUCAGUUUAUGCAGUAAAUGUGUUCCAGAAAGUUUAUAUGAUAUAAAGCACAUCAUGUUUUCAGUGCAGUAGGACAGCUCACUUUUACAUCAAGGAACCCAGUGCUAACUCCUUCGUGGUGUAUAUAAAUACCCCGCCACAUCUAGGAAGUAUCAGGAAACUAAGGGCUGCUUUAAUGGCAUUGGCUAAACGUUCAUUAAGAUGCCAAACCACAUCAGGGAAGCUGGUGACUCACCACACCUGGCGUGGUCCCAGCACCCCUGCAGAGCCCACUGUCUUAGGGGGUGGGCCGUGAAUGUGGGGCAGUGGGGCCCAGUCCCUGAAAUCAGGGCCUUCGUUAGUCAUGCACAUUGAGGUUGGGUUCUUUGGAGUCAGGGGUCUUCUCCACAGGUCUCUCCCUCCACACCUCCUACCCUCGCGCCCACACCCUUGCGUGGAUUAGCCAGGAUUCCAUAGAGCAGGAGGCAAGGCUAGUGUAGAGGCGCCAUGUGCUGGCCGUGAAAUCAGUCUGUCUGGCUCCAAAUCCCAUCUCCACCCCUGACUGAGCUAUGAACAAAUUCCCAAACUUCUCUGUUCCUCCGUUGUAAAAUGAGGGGAAAUAGCAAUCCCACGUCUUAGGACUGUCAUGAGAACUUAGUGAGACAACAUGUUCCAGUACAUAGCACAGCGCCUGGCUUGCAGUGAGCUUUCAUUUGAUAUUGGUCAUCACUGCUGAGAUUGGAGCCUUCAUCUCUGUGGUGCCUCAUCCCACCAAAAGAUGUUUUUGUUUUCUAUUGCUGUGUAACAAAUUAUGACAAACUUAGUGACUUAAACAACACCCGUUUAUCAGCUCACAGUUCUGAGUCACAAGUCCGGGCACAGUGUGGCUGGGCUCUUACGCAAGGCUGAAUUCAGUGUAUUGACUGACAGCGUUCUCAUCUGGAAGCUUGACUAGGGAAGAAUUCAUUUCCAGGUUUCUUUGGGUUCUUGACCCAACUCAUUUCCUUGUGGUUGUAGGACUGAGGUCUCUGUUUCUUUGCUUUCUGCCAGCUGGGAGCUGUUCUUAGCUCCUAGAGGCCACCCACAUAGCCCCCUCUGUCUUCAAAGCCAGCAGUGGAGACUAUCCCUCCCAUGGAAUGCCUCUCACACUUUGAAUCUGCUCCUCUGGAAAGAGCCUAUCCCUUCCAAGGGCUCACCUCAUGAGGUCAGGUCCAUCUAGGAUAAUCCCUCUUCUGUUAAAGUCAACUGUGCCAAAGAAGAUAACCUAAUCACAGGAGUGCUGAUCCCAUCAUCCACAAGUCCCAGGGAUUAUCCAGGGCUUAUCCACUGGAGGUGGGAAACUUGGGCACACCUUAGAGAUCUGCCUACUGCACCACCUUUUCAGCAAGGCACGUACUUCACGCCUUCCUUCCAGUUGGCAGCAAAAAGAGGAUUUUCCCUCACUGGCAGAGUCCUGUGUGCUCUUUUUUCAUAGCUGAGCUGGGGCCACUGGCUGGACCCAAUACUAGUGCUGUGUGUGGUUCAGGCCUCAAGUAUUUACAUCUCUCAAGUGUCACCCCAGCUGCGACCUUUUCCCUGCUUCAGGGCCUUGGGGAGUGUUUGUGCUUCAAAGAGGGCCCAGCCUGCUUUCUCUCCAGUCAUCCCUGGCACCUCUGCCCUUGCUGUUCCCAGAAGACAGCACUGCCCACACUCCCUGUGGGGUGUCAGGACCCAGGGUCCCACAAAGAGAAAAGCCACAUUGUAAAGGACUGAAAAUGCUAAAACAUUGGGGUGACAGAUGCUGUGGCCCAACUACCAUUGCUACCAAUGAGGCCCUCCUCUGUCUCUAGAUGUCCUGCUUCUGGUAGUUAUGUGGGGAAAAUUAAGGAAAGCUUUCCCUAAACUUUCAGGGGAUUAGUUUUCCCUAUCGAGAACAUAGCAAAAUACCUCAGGUUGACUCUUGUGGGUAUUUCUGAUUUUACAAGGAUCGGGAGUCCCCUGCCGUGAAUCUUCUGUGCUGAAGUCGACACAUUUCUGAUGUGUCUCUGCCACAUCGUAUCCUUUUGCCUCAUGCUAUUACUAUUGACUGGAAAAGGGUGUUUGCUCGUUAAACCGCCAGUUUUUGCUUUUCUCCCAGAGAAGUGUGUGAAACUGUGCAGUCUAUCUACAGUUCAGCUUUCAAUACUUUUCCAGCUGUCCCCAUCUGGGUUGCUUGUGUUUGGUUUCUAGGCUCUUAGUUCAGUUCCCUUUCUCGUUCUUUUCCUUUCAUUGUGAUACCUGCCCAGGUAAAGCAGAGACCAGCUAAAGGGAUAGUGAACGGCAGCCCCAGGAAACAUGCCACAUCAGAGCACAGGCCAGUGUGGCUUCACCAUCACUCUCCAGAGUCUGGGCUGUUGGGAGCAAGGAUGCCACUUAUGCUGGAGGGCUCUUCACUUCUCCACACCCACCUAGGCUGGUUUCUGAGGCAUCGUGCUUACACUGCUGAGAUUAAAGUUAUUUGUUGUCAGUUUCA